GUUUCUCUGGGAUGGAAGUUUACAUUUAUCAAAAUACGACUCACUUCAUGAGAAAGGAAGGUGCAGCAGAGAAAACACAUGAUGAACUCUUCCACAGCCUCUAUUCUCUGUCCCUCUGUGCUGCUCAUGAGGAAGGAGGUAGAGAAAAUCAGGAGCAAAGUUAAGCCUAGGAAUAAGGCAGUGGUGAGGAUCUGUGCAAUUUUUUGUAACCUGGACCAUUAUUAGAGCUUUAUGAAAUUAAGAAGAACAAAGGAAACCAUAAUGCUUUACACAGCAUAAGCCAUGACACUACAGAUCCACCUUUUUAGUAUUUGAACCCAGUACAUAACAACUGAAAACUUAUGAAGACUGAAGACUGGUUGAAAACUGAUACAAAGGCUGAAGCCUACAGUAUCUAUCUGUUUCUUCGCAUGAUUUGAGUAUGUUCCAAGACAUUAGAUUUUCCAGCUUUGGCAUCUUUUGUGUUGGGGUCCAUAAAAUAGGCUGAAGAACUGUAUUUGUUCUCAGCAGUUUUGCUGAACUGGAAC